UCGCUUUUGCAGAAAGGAGUGUUUAUUUGCAACAGUGCACGGGGUGGGGUUGAUUUUAAUUAGGGGGGAAUUACAGUGCAUUUUUCUUACAGUGCAAUGGAACACCGCCUGGACCAGGCGUGGUCAGCCCACGCUCAGUCCAUCACGCACGCACGCACAGCGUAGGCCAAGCUCUGCUCCAUGAGCAGAGCCCCUUAACAUGGCAUCCAUCCCGCUCAGACCUCCCUCCUGCUCCCACCAACAUCCCCACACCCAGCUGGGACGGUGCUCACACCUCUCUGCCCAGGGGUAUUUGGGUCCUGGAGGUGACAUACAGGAGUUACACGGGAUUUUUGCCAGGCUCCCCAUCCCCUGGCUCCCUCCCCACAGGUGCGAAGCAAUGCAGAACCCCUCCACGUCCAGCAGCCAAUGCUGCCUCUUGCUGGGGCCACGGCAGGUUGGGUCCCUCCUGGAGAAUCCCGGAGACAUCGGGCAGAGAGCGGGCAGAGCGCAGCCAGGAAGGAGCUGUCAGGCUGGGGACAUCCCUUCUCCCCUCACUGGGAUCUGGGAAGGAAAGGAAAAGCACACGGAAUCGCAGGAGCUGAGAACGGAAAUGGGAGCAUGGAUGGACCUCAUCCCCAUUUACACCCCACCACCCUCUGCUGUCCCACCCUGUGUCACCUCACCCCUUCCUGACCCACGGAGCCGUCGCCCCGCGCUCCCCCUGCCCCACCGAGGGGCUGCCGCCUGUCCUUCCCCGUAGGCUUUGGGGCAAGGGAUUACUCUGCAUGUCAGAGCCACUAAAGGAGCAGCCCUCUGAUGUUUUAAUCUUCACGUUAACUUUCCCUGCCCUCGGCGCCCUUGGCUGCCUGCAGAAAGUGAUACCUAUGAGGCACGGAGCUGCGGCCGAAGCUGUGAUGCUGAGCCCAAGCGCCCUCAUCCCCUCCGUGGCUCUCCCUGCAGCUCUCACCCCACACCCUAUAGCAGGUUCUUCCCUCUUUUCCUUGACUUCUCCUCCACAAGCACGGGCCCCUCGCAUGGAGCCCAGCCCCGUUCUUUGCCAUCCUCCCUUUGCUUUGCUUAUAAACUGCCGUGCUGGGAAGAGCAAAGUCAAACACACCUCUAAUUCUUCCACGCGCUCGGAUCUAGGGCGCAAAAAGCACCGUCAGGCAGCUCAUUUAUUCUUUUUAGUGCGCCAAAUCAUAAUUUUAUAAAAUAUUGCAAAUUUUAUAAAAUAUUUGCGAGCCCAUUUUAAGAGAUAAAUCUUCGACGUUGGCUCUAAUGAGGCGCCCUGGGAGCAACGCCACGCGAUCCGCUGUAGGUCGCAGCGCUGCGCUCCCGGGCUGCGGCUGCGUGAACCGCCGCCACUCUUUGAACUGUGCAAACACUCCUCACUCUGGGGUCCGGGCUGCCUUUCCGUGGGUGGGUUUUCUUUUUCCUCUUUCUUUCUCUCUUAAAAAAUAGUUCUCUCCCGUAACCCCUUUAUUGCAAUAUUCAUAGGGCGCUUGGUGGGAAGCCAAGGAAAAUCCCUUUUCUCUUGCACAACUCCGAAGCGAGCCUACACGUUAGAGGGGCAGAAGAAAAACGCAGCCCGCGUGCAUUGGUUUUGGGGUGGCUCACGGAGGGCAGACCCCGCGCCGAUGUGUGUGUGUGCGUGUGCAGGGAGUGCAGAGCCAGGCUGGGAAGCGGGGGAGCAUCCGAUGCUGCGUUGUCCUCCAUAACACAAAGCCACCCCAAGUGUCCUCACAUGAUGGGACACAAAGGGUGGUGAGCACAUCCCCAAGCCCAGGAGGGGAGGGAGACGCUGAGCCAUCGUGCUCACCAGGGAAAACCCGUGCUGGUGCCCUGGGCAGUGCCGCGUGAGCUUGCUUCUAACUACCGAGAGACACAACUAUCAUGCCAAGAGGAUGCUCACUGCAAUGGGACACCAUCCACUUGCCUGCAGGUCUGCACCUCCCAGCACUGGGUAACUGGGGCAGGAGGGGCUGGAGGAGCCGGCUGGGUGGAACCCAGUGCCGACAAAGACACCACCAACAGUGACAUCCCCAACAGCAGCACCCCCAGUGAUGGCACCCCCAAAAACAGCACCCUCAAUAGUGGAACCCCCAGUGCCAGCCCACCAACGCAGGUGGCUCUGCCUGACGGGACCACCGCCGUGUGCCAAAGCCCCGUUGUCGGGGCCGGGCAGGAAGGAGGGGCUCUGCUCCUCCCCCAGCUCAGCCCUGCUCCGUCGGUGCGGAGAAACUUUCUGGACAAUUUAAUCGUGCCGAGAUGUUACUUUGAAAACCCUUUAUUCACUGUUGAUUUUUUGUCCCUCCCUUCCUUCUCCCCCUUUUUUCCUCCCUUCCAUCCCUGAUUGCAUUUUGCAAGCCCGCAGUAUCUUUCAUUUUGCACACAUGCACACUUUCAUGCAAAUAGAGUCUUCAUACCUCCUCCCCGGCUCAAGAUCUCCAACUCCAAAGUGACCAAAGCUGUGCUCUGCCCUGCAGCUCCUCAGCAUUACACCUCCGUUCUGCUCCAGGGGCCUGGGGGGGGAAAAAUCAUUUGAAACUAAGAAGACGUGCUGUUUGCUUUGGGUAAUUACAAGCGAGCUUUGGAUUCUUCAAGCAAUGAAAAGUGUGCAAUGGGAGUGGGUUCUAUCCGGGUGUGGUGGUGAUGGGUUGGUGAUUGGACUGGAUGAUCUUAGUGGCCUUUCCAACCUUCACGAUCUCCAGCACCGCUCCCUCCAUCCCACGCCCGCCCCGUGCACCUGGGCACGUGGUUGCAUUUCCUAUAGAGGAACUUCAUGGCGCUUUGGGCUCAGUGAGAGGAGAAUGCUGCUGACAUUUUCUUAUCUCAAGUUACAAUUUCCUGUGAGCAUCACAGUGAUAAAACAUGGGAGAUGUGCAGCUCGCGUGGAGAGAGUGCAUCGUGCACGGCACCGGGGGGCAGAGGAUGCCCGCGGGAUGCGGCUCUCGGUGCCGUCAUUGUUGUCCCCCCGCCUGUCUGCAGGGAAUUUUAUGGGGAGGGCUUUUGGCGGGGCGAGGAGGAGGAGGAGGAGGGGAGCUUUCCCCCAAAGCACCCAGGAAUCUGUCAAAAGAGGGACAGAAAAGAGAAGAAGAAGAAGAAGGGAGACAGAGAGUGGGAACGUCAAGGACCCCUGACUAAUGAAUAGCAAGUUUGCCCUUGAACCUCCCUGGGCUUUGCCAUUCCCAGGCUCCAAACAAGGGCUGAUGCAUGCUUGGGCCCAGCUGCAGGGGGACCGGGCUAUGGUUCAUCUCAGACACUUUGACAGCCCGGGCCUUUUCCCCGCAUAGCUCAGACUCGCCUAACUACUCCCCUGGCAACAGCUCAGUGCAGGAACCUGCGCGGAGGCCCUGCCUGCUGCAUACAGAAGCGUGAGGAGGAGGGGAGCGCUGGGAGAAAUUAGCUGGAGACCGGCUUAACCCGUCAAAUGCUGGGCUGGCACCCUCUGCCCGGCAGCACGGCACUGGUGGGAUCCCUGUGGGUGGCAGUGGGGUGGCAGUGGGGUUUGUACACAGACACUGCCGUGGGGCUGCUGGGGAUGGAGCUCCGCGGGGUGGUGGGAAAGCCCAGGCUGGGAUGGAGAAGAUGAUGAAUGGUGAACGAAUGGCGAACGCUGCUUGAUCGUGGAGCUUGUGCCAGCCGUGUCACUCGUGCCACGCGUGCCACCGGUGUCACUUGUUUCAUUUGUGCCACUUUCGUCACCUGUGUCCCAGGUGGGGAAGCAGCAGCAGCAAGGGCGCAGCCCAACCCCGGCGCAGCAGGCACAGAGCAUCCCUCAGCAGCUGAAAGCAAAGCCUGGGACACGCAGGAGAGGCACCAACUUUCCCCACCACUCUUUUUGCAUUGCAGAUGAAAGACGCGGGGAGCGCCAGCCGUAGGGGUCUGCACUGAAUGGAUGGAGCAAACAGGCACUGCAGACGGCUGCAAACACCCGACGGCUCCAAAGCACGACCCAGGAACGUUCCCACAUCCCGGCCCCUUAUAAAUCAAGGGGGAGAGGGGGAGGGCUCCUUGCCGGCCUCUGUUUUUACAGAGCAUCUUUCAUGUGCAGCCCCUGAGAGAGAGGGCUUUGCUGAGCUUGUUAAGGAGGGCUCCUGCACCAGGCAGAGAGGGGGACGCACCAUAUGGAGAGGAGAAAAAGAAAAGGGGACACUGAAAAUGGAAAAUUAUGCAAAUCAGGAGGAGAGAGGCUCCAGUGAAAGGGGGGAGGGAGGCAGAGGGGGAUGGGAGGGAGCCCUGACUUGGGGACACCAACAGGAGGGACGGCAGUUUCCCACGAUCGGUGUCCGGGCGUGGGACGGCCCUCGAUGGCACCUGGGUGAUGUCACGGUGUCCUCACCAGGGCAUGGCCAUGGGGUACCCCACUGCAGGGUACGUCUCCGGCCCAGCCAUGCUCGCACCAUUGGGGAUGCCCAGUGCUGGCUGUGAGCAGCAGCAAACAGGGGUCUGCGGUGACCUACUUCAUGGAGGUGUCCUCAGGACCUCUGUUACUAUGGCAAUGAGGUGGCAAGAGUAAAAAAAAAUAAUAUAUAUAUAUAUAUUUUUUGUCAAAUCUUUUGGUUUUUAUGCGUCACUGAAAGUAGACUCAUGCACCGAGGUGCUGAGGGCUUUGUACCAAAUGGCUCUGAGCAACAGCAACAAAGCAAAGCCUGGAACUGCCCCACGCCAUGACAGGGGACACUCAGGUGACACAGCUGUGUGUCACUCCUCUGUCAGCACCUCCUGCAGCCCUGCAGCAGCUCUCGCACUCCUCAUGGCAUGACCACACUCCUCCACAGCUCCCCUUGCUCUCUGCCAAACCCUGCUCUGGCUGCUGGCCUCAGCUCACCUUUGGGAACCACCCUCUGCAGCCCCAGCUUGGUCCCCUCCAUCCUGUUCACACCUCUCAAAUCUCUCAGUCGCUUCCAUCGAGACCCACCUGCCCUGCUCUAUGCAGCAUCACCCCACCUCACAUCCCUCCAUCCACCCUCAGCCCAUAAGAAGCUCUCCACACAGGGCUGCUCGGGUCCUGGUGUGCCUGGGCUCUGCUGUCUGUCUGUCCCUGGCCAUCCCAUCCCACUGUCAGGGCAAGACAGAAAUGUGCUGGGGAUGUGCAAAUAGGAGGAGGCAAAGUCAGUGCUGGUGAAGAGCUGGCCCCGGCGGGUUGCAGAACGGAGAUGUUUCCCAGUGCCAGGCUGGGGCGAGCUGGAGACGCGGCUUCUAGUUCUUUAUGUCCUGCUUUGACACAGCAGUGCUUGUCAAUUCCUUCCCACCUUGGCAAUUCUGAGCCUGUGCAUGCCCGGAAAGCUGGCAGAAACAUCCAGCAGAUCAAUCAACCCUUGCAAUCAAUUCAACCCUUUCUCUUAGAGAUCCAAUUCCAUUUAAAAGGCUCUUAAAAGGGAUGCCUCCAUUCUCCCCCUGUACCCCACAGAUUCAGGCAGGUGAGGGGCAUGGGGACGGUCUGCCACGCAGGCACACGUGUGACCGUGCUGGUGCAGAUGGGCACGGCUGUCCCAGCACACGUGUGUUCCUACCCGCACCCGCCAACACCUCCGUGCUCCUGCCCACGUUCCCUCUGCUGCUCCCAGGCUGCCAGGAGUGGGGGGAGUUCUGCUUCUCCCCCACCCAGGACACGUGUAGGAUCUGUGCAAUGCGGGAUUUGGGCUGCUCAGCCCCGCAGCCACUGGGAAAACAUGCUGUGUCCAGCUUGGAGCUUCUCAAAGAGCCGUGCCCUGGAGGGAGGCUACAUAUGUUGGCCAGAUCCUCGGUAAAGCCACGGAAUAAGCUGUAGGCACUGAAGAGGAUUCAUGUAAGCGGCACGCAGAGAAAAAUAACAAAAAAUCAAGUUCACAGGGGUACAAGGAAAACAGAGCUCCCUCCCACAGACCAGCUGUGUGGGGCUCCAGGGACAGCAGACCAUGUAGGAGACAGCGCAGAGCUCACGCUCAAGAUGAUGUAUUUGCAACCACUUCCCUCCUGCAACUGCUGGAUGGACAGUGAGCCGCCAGCCCCACGGACCCACAUCUCCACCCCUGUAUGCGUCCUGCCCCACUUCUCACCUGGGCUGCUUUAGGGCUGGACGCCCACCAUGGCCAAGGUACGCAAAGAAAAGAUGUGCCUUCAUGGAAAAGAGAGAAGGACAUCUGAUCUCUUUCUGUAUCACGAGACACAAGCAAGAAACCGCUCCCCUCAAAUAAACCCAGGAGAAGGGGCUGCAGAUUCACACUAGCUCUAGCAAUGAGCGGCUGUGAGCAGGAGGGAAUUGUUCAGGUGCCCUUUGGAUCAGGCUGGCCUGAAGCUGAACCCCUUCCAAGGAGGAUACAGCAAGAACAGUGAGUGCUGCCCGAGUGACGGGCCGGAGCACUGCUGGCACUCAGUCCUCAUUCAGCCUCGACCCAGAUUCCAGCCCCUGGCUUAGAUCCAGGUUUCUUUCUCCUUGACCCAUCUCCAUCAAAAGAGACGCAGUGAUGAGUCUCUGCUUGGAGUUUUUAUUCUACAAAUAGAAGCAGAGAAGCGCCUGCUCUACGGCGGAACAUUUCCACUAAACCCUAUUUUGAUGCCUGUCCUGGCGCAAGAAGCCUUUGGGGGCUGUGCCCAUGGUAUGAGAUGGCAAGACACAACAUGAAACCACACGAUUGCCACAUCCCCGCAUCCCACCAAGACGCACCUCCAGCAAGCCUUGAUGUGAAUGGGGUCCUGGGGACAGCCAGGCACAGCAUCCCCAGCUGCCACAAGCAUUUCAUUUCCAAACAGGACCCAGGGGACCUCUUGUGCAACGAGGAUGGGGACUCAGAGCAGAGAGACACAACAUGCCCGCGCUGCAUGGCACCGAAAGCAGCAGAACCUCCUGGCCACUGAACUGCUCCCCAGACGUGAGGCCAAUGGGACCCCACCGCCCUCCUGGAAGCAGAGCAUUGCUGUAAUUCCACCACCGAUCGGGAAACGGUGAAUUGGGAUUUUUUUUCCCCUCAUUUCCCUCCCCCGGUUCCUUUUCCGCAUCAUAAGCAAAGUCCUAAUAAAGCUCCCAUCCCUGCUGCCAGCCCCGCGCCAUGCUCCCAGCAGCAAAGAGAUGCAAAGCCACGCUUGGAAUCUGAUUCCCCGGCUUUAAACGCUGCUCUGCCAGCAAAGUGCGACUUGAAAGCUCCCCUGUCACAGUUACAAAGCUCCGAACAGCCCUUCUUCGGAUAAUCACGCUUAUCUCCAGAUUAAGAAAGAGAGACCUGCAGCUGAGGCUGGUCACAUGGGCUGGGAUGUGGGCAAAUCUCUUUUAAACAAUCCCCAUAUAGCUGUGACCUCCACCGCAGCCCAAACGCACGGCCCCUCGCUCCCACUCGGAGAGUGCGGGAGGGGAACGUGCUGGAUGGAGAGAGCGGGGCACGGGAGGGGCCGGGGGAGGAGUGACAAUGUGAUGGAGAUGGGAGAAAUGAGUGAAGGGAGGAGGUGGGAGAGGAAGAGGUGGGCUGCGGUGAGGGGGAGGUGAGGAAGGACAGGUCUGUGCCACCCGUCCUGCUGGGAUUAGUUGUCCCCACGCUGUCCCCACGUUAACUCUUCCUGCUCUGUCCCCGCUGGCAGCUGAGCGUGAUUACGUGACUCCAGCCGUGCCAAGCAGCCUUGGCAGGGCGAGCGCCUCACCUACUUUGCUGCCACGGAUUCAUUAAGAGGCUUUGCUUGUGUGGGAAUAGUCAUCCCAACAGGGGAAAAAAAAAGCCCUUCUGCAGAUCGGGCUGGCACGGAGCUCUGACAAAGCGGUUUCCAUGGCCCUGCGUGGGGUUGGGAGCAGAAUGAGGGAGCGGUGGGAUGCAUGGAGUGGGGCGGAGGGGUGGGAGAUGGACUGGAGGGGUCUGCAGAGGGCCUGUGGGCCAUUUCCCAGUUCUUCUGAUUAAAGGCCGUGUUGCACCAGGGUCAGCUGUGGAUAACGCGCGCGCCCCACGAGCCAACGACAGGUCCAAGCACUCGCAUAGUGACCUCUUCCAAUGGCACAUCCCCCUUUGGUUUACAGUGACUGGCAACCCUGCCCACGGCAGGGGCUUGGAACUGGAUGAUCUUUAAAGUCCCCUCCAACCCAAGCCAUUCUGUGAUUCCAUGAUUCCACGAUCCUACGAUUCUACGAUGUGGGGUUAACACAAAGGCUUUGCGACAGAGGAGCCCAGCAGCUCUGAAAGGGGCACAGAUGCAGAGGAUGGGGCUGGCCCUCUCUGAGGACCCCCACCACGUGCUGGCACUGACUCGGGCUCUCCAGACACGGGCUGCAGCCUGUCAGGAGGACAGCAGAGCUGCCUCCCCCACUGCUCAUUAUUCACCCUGCGCAAUUAGGCACUGCUGAUAAGCCACACGAAAUUGCCUUUGUUCUCCAACCUGCGUUUCUUGGGGGUCCUUUUUUCCUGCACGCUCCCCAUGAGUGCUUUGAGUUGCCCACCGUGCCUAUUGCUCCAACAGCAGGGAGGCCUCGAUGAUCCUUAUGGGCCCCUUCCUACUCGGGCUAGUCUACGAUUCUUUGAUUUGAGGUACUUGCCCUAUGCUCUGCUGCUCCAACCAAGCCAUCUCCCAACCAGAACCAGCCCCGCUGCUCUCCACACACCCAGCACCCAUGCAGGGAACCCAGCAUAGAAGAGAAAGCAAAGCCACCAAACCCUGCAUGCAGCAAAACUUCCCCAAAUGACCUUCGCUUCAGAGCAGCCCUGUGGCAAUCGCUGCUCAGCCAUGUAAUUCCCUGCUCUUUCAGCACAGCAGCUGCUCAGCAGCAGAGGGGGGCACGGGGAGGGAAGGCAUCUCUGGCCAUUCUAGAGCUUCUUGCUCAAUAAACGUAUGUUGGCUCUUGAGUCUCGUUGGUUUAAGUGGAAAAAUGCAAAAAAAUAAUUAAGCAGACGUGAAUGGGUGUUAACAUCCCUACAUCCUAUAGAUUCUUGCGUGAAUCUGAAGAAUGCAGGUGGGUGGGUGCAUGGAUGGACAGACGGACGGACGGACGGAUGGAUGCACUCUAGGAAUGACACUACGUGCCGGUCCAUAUGCUGGGGAAGUGGAAAGACUUUUAUCUUUGCAAUUAAUAACUCUGUUCUGAACAAAUGCUGAUAAAUCCUCGGUAGCACCGCUCCCUUUGUCUCUCCAGCUCCUGUUCCCACUGCUCCAUGCCCUGCACACCCCAGCUCCGCUCCUUCCCAUGCUUUGUAGCUGGCAGUGGAUCCGGCUGCCUCGCUGGAGAAGCAGGCUGAGGUUUUGUUGUUGGGGCUUUGUGUGAGUGAUUGCAUGUGUAUGUGUACAUACAAAGAUGGAUACAAACCCAUUGGAAAUAAACACCUUUUAAGGGACUUGAGAGAGAGACACAGGGCAAAGGAGAAGAAAGAGCCCACAGACCCUCAGCCAGACAAUCAGUAAAGACGAACAGAAAGACCCAGUGAACCAAAAAAAAGCUUCAGUUCUCUUUUAAACUCUCUGCAAUUUGCAAAGAAGGCAGCCGACCCAUGGCUGGGAAGCCCGGCCCCGCUGAUGCACCGGGCUCUCAGCCCUUCUCCUCCAGCCCCGCACAGCUCAAUUACCCCGGGCUGCUCUGAGCACACCCCCAGCGCCCCGCAUCUCCCCUGCCGCCGAGACAGCUUUCGCCAAUGGAAGGACAAAUAUAUUCAUUGGCACCUUAUCAGACAUGCAUGCAAAACUAAUUAACAUGGGGAGACAUGCAAGCUGCCACCCAGCCACAAAUACACACCCACGAGCAUGCACACACACACGCACACACGCACAAGGCAACCCUUGUCUAGGGGGGACAUUCAAAAGGCUUUGUCACUAAUUUAGGCAUCUGUCUCAGUCUGGUCCGGUCCUCCUGGCUGGGCUGGAGUUGUGGUUUUUUUCCCACUCUGUUUGACAAUGCUGGGAACAUGCCCGGAGACCCCUCAUUCAAAUCACCCCUUGACAAUGGUCUCAUUGUGUGAGCGUACAGAAAAGGGAAAGGAUGGGGGAGAAGAUGGGGAGGGGGGCAAGGAAUUAAAAUGUGAACCCAAGGAAGUGUUUACUAACACAAGCCCCGCAGCUGCCCCGGCUCUCCUCCACCCCCUUUCUCCGAUGGCCCAGCCUGUCCCCGUGGAGGCCGCGGAGCACGGAGACGAACCUCGGAGUGUUCGAGUUCCCGGAGCAGGUGUGGGUUUGGGAAGAGAAGAGCCUGCAGCACCUUAGAGAGGAUUAGGGACUGAAUAUGUCCUGUACGGGACGUCUUUGUGGGGGUGAAUGGCGGCCGGUGGAGCGAGGGAUUUGCCAGGGGACCGCUCCCAGGCUUUCUGGAUAGGGACGCAAAUGGUUUGAACUUGGAUUAGACUGGCAGAGCGGUUUGGAUGCUUUCUGCAGUGCCGCUGCCAGCGUGAGAAUGGAGGGAGGGAGCAGAGGGGGUCAGGGCUGGGGGCUGAGGGAACAGCCCCCCUUCGGGACCCGACCACCUUCCUACGGCGAGUCAGAGAAAAUUAAGAAAAACCGCCCCUGAUGUCCCGACCGCCCCCCAACCGCCCCACCGCCCUCUGGGGAAGGAAGCAGCAGACAGGGCUUAGCCCCCAGCCCCACAUGCUUGGCUGGGCUCGGCAGCAUCGUUCAGCUGGAAAUGCCCACGAGUCGGCAGAGCGGCGUGAGCCGGGGAAGGGGGAGGAGAUGAUGACAACGUUUUCCAUAUAUGCAAAUGCAUCUGCACAAGGUACUCGGAGGGAGACAAAACAAAGAGACCUCCGAGACCCGCACAAAGGCGAACACCUCCGUACACCUAUGAUGCUCUCGUGCGGUGCAGCUCACAGGUUCCCCCUCCCAUCCCAGCAGACAGCAGCCCAAAGAGAGCCUCGCUGAGCAGCACGGCACAAGCUGCCAACACAAAUGCCACAACCCACGUCCGCCUCCAGAACCAGAUGCACCUUAGGAGUAAGAAGCUAUUCCUGUCCGUCAGCUUAGUCAGAAAGGAGACAAGCUGUGAUGCAAACCCGACAGAGCCCUGCCUCGCUGCGGCAGAGGUCUGGGGGCUGGAGGAAGCCCAGCUCCCAUCACGCGGCUCCUGCAGCCAAACCACCGCCUGGAGCUCUUUUGUUUGCCGCAGGAGAUUUCUGGACAUCGCUACCAACAAACCUCAGCAAAACCACACACACAAACCCAGGAACGUGAGUGGCAGUGCAGCAUCCUUCCCAUGGCCGCUGUGACAAAAUGAAAGUCGCUGUGCAAAUAUUUCUGCUAAAAAGGGGAAGCUACUGCCAAGUAAGCAAAUCUGUGCUUUUUAUCCAAACAAGUAGUCAUGAACAGUUUUAUUGCCACAUCCCUCUGCUCCAAUACACACGGAUACGCACUUGACAUGUACAGAAUUGGGAACAGAGCUGUGGUUUUAAUAGGGCAAUGCAGACACCAUAUGAAAUAAAACUCUACAGAGAUUAGCUUGCCAGGACUCAAGGCUGAGAAAAGCUAUUUGACGGCACCGAGAAACAAGGACACUUGCAAUUCUGCUCUCAUUUCCGUGCUGUAAAUUUGGGCAGAUUUUACUGAAUGCAAUUAAAUCCUCACUUAGGAUUGAACCCAGCGCGGCUGAGAGCAGAGCCUGGUACAAGAGCCACCUCUGGGCCCUCCUCCCUGCCUUGCUCCGAAGGAGUUGAGCACAAAAACGGGUUGGUAGAUCCCAGCCAACGUGGCCAUUUCAAAGACUUCACCAGCUCUCUCCUGGCUGUUCCUUCCUUACCCACUGAUUUGCCACGUGGCUCACAAAGUCUUGGCUGAAGGGAAGGUCAGCACCAACCUUCUAAGCACGCCAACAGUGAGAUGUGGGCAUCUCCUUCCCUUUAUCUCUAAUGGGGGCUGAAGACCUCAGGAUCCUUCAGCACACGUCUAUGUGAGCUGAUCCUUCCCUUCAAAGACCCCAAGGGUCACAGAGUGGAUCCCACGCAAUAGCCUUCCAAGAAGCUACACAAGACCCUUCAUUAUUAACGUUGAGUUGAACAUACUCUACGUUUCACCUUUUUCUAAGACAGUGCCUUUCCAAGUGCUGGCAGACCUCCUCCCCUGCCCUCACCACCCAGGUAGGGUCACUUUCACUGCAGGACGGACUUGGCAGGCUCCGAGUGCUUCUGUGACCUUAAAUCUAUCUAUCCCUGCCUUUAAAUCCAUCUACCCACGCUCCUUCUCUCACACAUGGAGACGUGUAAAUCUCAACAUCUCAUUAAAUAGAUCUGCCGAUCGCUCCCGAACGGAUUGCCUCCCAGCAUAACUUUUCAGCUGGUCACUGUCCAUGAGCAGAUGGUUUUACAUGACAUUUAUUCAUGCAAAUUGCAGAGGCUGUAGUCUGGUUCCCCAGUUAGAGCGUAAAAAAUUACAGUUUAGAUGCAUAAAUGCUGGCACCAUCAGAGAAGGCGAGAUGAGACUGGAAAUACAUCCCUGGCUUUCAGUGCAGCACGACAAAAUUUAGAAUGAGUUCCUCAUCACAUGGGAGCUCAGCAGAAGCAACCCCCCCCCCCCCCAAAAAAAAUACCCGGGGAGACAGAGAAGGCCACGUGCAAAGCUGCAGCGAUACAGAGAGAUGAACUUCUCCUGCUGCAUGUGCAGGAACCUGCCACGGGGAGAGCGCACACGACAUUUUACGUCACUCACAAAGCCUACUCCGUCCAAUAAAGUGUGGAAGUAAAACAAAGCAUGAAAUCCAGGCAUAAAUUAGCAUCCCUCCAGUCUAGCUUUAUUUGUGCUGCUGCUGCUGUGGAUUAGCAUCUAGCGAGCUGACAGGCUGAUAGGCAGACAGAAACGGGGAGAAAUGAAAAAAUCAGUGGGUGUCUUUUUUUCCUUACAGUUCCCGGGACAUCUGCCAUCAAAGUGCAGACAGUGCUCAUCCCUUCAGGACCAGCGUUUUCCUAUCUUCCCUGGAGAGCAAUAGCAUCCGUAGGGAAGAAAAUCCUCCUGAAACAUUUGUGCCUGCACCCUGCAAAGAUGGCACCCGUCAUCUGACUGCAAGCCCAGCACAUCCACGCUGGUGUCCCUCCAGCAGCAUUUGCAGAGAGCUGCAGAGAGCUUUAGGACAGCACCUUGCUGCAGGCAUGCAGCAAACACCCUGAGAUUGGCUCCGGAUCAUGUUCACCAGCACUCAGGGCAGCUGCUGGCGGCCAUGGCCAGGCCUGGUACCUGAUCCCAGCUGACGUGACCAGGAUCUCACGCCAGCAUCUCCUCUCUGUUCAUGUCAGCAAAGUGUCACCGCUGGCUCCGCAGGCAGGAGACCUGCCGAGAGCAUCCACCGCGCUGUCACGCAGCCUCCCCCUCCCCGGGGCUGGAUGGCAAAGCAAGCGGUGGUCAGCAGAGAUGCCCCUUCUCCCCGGAGCCUGAGGUCCCCUCUGCCACCAAACCCCUCUCCCUGGUGCACCUCUGUGGUACCCACAUCAGGCAGCAGAGGGGAGAUCAGGAAGGAUGGUACCACCGUGCCCAAAUCAGGGGAACAACAGCAGUGAAUGUGAUUGCGUUCAAAACGACCUGCAAAACCCAUUUCCACCCUUGCUGGGCUGUUUCCAACUUCAUCAGGCUCUCAGGUCGCAGGAGAUCUCAAGUCCCUGCCCAUCACUUACAGAACCAACGAGAGAGCUCAGUUUUUAGGCUAAGGAAAGCAAAUUUUCAGCCAUUUUCAAAAGUGGCCUAGAAAACGCAGAGUAAUUCUGCAUAGCCAUAACGCUGGUCCCAUUGGGUACAGGGUAGGGUUUGAACAGCCCCGUGUCCCUCUGCCUGCCAGCGUGACACUUACUGGGUCUGAUCAGAGGAUGCAGGUCUGAAAAUUCACCGUUCUGUGACCCAGGAUGAGCAGAGGUGCCAGCAAUCCCAGCAGCUGGGCUCUGCCUUUGCAAUGGGCCGGAUGUGAAUCCCGCAUACAGAAGGCAUCUGCAGCCAGCUCCGAAUGGCCCAUGCUCAAACGGGGCAGGCGAAUUAGCCCUUGCACAAAUGAAGACAAGCAGCCCAUGCCUUUGUUUCCCUAAGUCAUGUCGCAAGCUGUGGAUUAGGGAGUGGAGUCACCACAUCUUUAAGCCCUUGCGACAAUCACAGGCACUCAUUCAACCUCUGGCAUUUGGGAUGGGAGGAGACAGAAGUCUGAGAGCCCACCAGACAGAGCGUACAGCAACACAGAGAGCUGCAGGUAACAUCUUCCCUCUGCAGGGGAAGCCCUAAUGGGCUCCCCAGCCAGCACUUAUGUACGUGAGCCAUUUACUUCCUCCCCAAGCUCCCAGAUUGCCCUGCCACAUCACCCAUGAGCCUGAUCACAAGCAACACGAUGGGUCCCAGCCUAGCACCCGCUCAUUAGCACUCUGCAUUUCCACUCCGCUCCACCCCAUCGGGAAAAGCCCAGCCUGGGGACAGUGCAGGACCAGAACUGCUGUAAAUGCUGCAGAUGAGCAGUGAGUGCUGUUAGCUGAAAGCCAGACCUGAAAGAACCUCAGAAGCCCCAGGACCAGCCCAUACAAGUCCUGACUUGUUCCUGCAGCUUUCCUUCAUCUUGGUUAGCUCCAGUACAUUUCCGCAUUAGAAUAUAUUUAAAACCACACUGAUGACAGCACAUUCAGACACGUGACCACCGGGGUGAGGGUGAUGCCUAUGCAACACAUCACAAAUGGGCUGAAGGAGCACGUUACCCUGCGAGUCUGCUCUGGGUGGAAACCUGGAUGGAACAUGCCUGCUUAACCCAGGGAGCUCCCGCACAGCCCCAGGAGGACAGCACAGCGACAGCAUCUCCUCUGGCCCUUAAGCAGAGUCUUCCAUGGUGCUGAGCACAGUGCUGAGUCCAAAGAGAGUUUUUAAGAAGGCAGUGUGCCUGUGCAGCCUUGCCUCUACCACCUCCACAGGCAUGUACACAGACGGGCAUCCCUUGCUUGGCCCCUUACAGAACAGGGCAGCUGGGACCACAAUUACCAAUUACUACAUUUCAGAGACGGAAGCACACGCUACAGAACUUUGCUUCCGAGUUUCCCUACACCCAGUGGCUUGGACCACUCCUAAGAGUAAUGGGUACAAGUAGCAGGAUCCAAACCAGCCCCCAUGCAACCCAGUGUAAACCACAGUGCUUGGAUUUGUCAGGCUCUCCUUCACACCCUGUUUGAUAUUAUGAAGUAUCCCACACUUCCAUCCUCCAGCUUUGAAUACCAGGAAUAUGACUACCCAAAAUUGCUAAGGCUGACUCUAAAAAAAAAAAAAAAACCCCAAGGAUUUGGAGAAUCUUUCUUCAGCUUGGUAAUUCCAGGCCCAAACAUGUCUUUGUUAUGUUUCCAGAGUUUUCCCUGCAAUAAUGAUGCCCAUAAACCCAUUUCUCAUUAGCACCAUUUGAUUAUUUUUAAGCGAGACUGAAGCUUCCAAGCAGCCCUUGAUUCCAGGUGCCGUGCUUUUGCAACAAACACCCCAAAUCCCAAGCCUUGUGAUAAUGCCCCUGAGAGCCAUUCUGGCCAAGCCUUGCCAGCUGCUGUUCUACCCAGAAGGCAUCCACCCGAGAGAACAGGAUGGCAGAAGAGGGGAGGAAGGAUAGAAAGCAGCGAUUUCUGGGGCCCUGAAGCGAGUGUGGCUUGCUAGGUGCUCAGCCAAGCUCAUCCAUAAGGCACACUCAGCCUGUGCAAACCUGCCCUGAUGCCUCGCCCCUUGUGUGGCAUCCUGGACAUUUUCCUCUACCCUCCCCAAAGCACAAAGCCACCACGGCCACGCGGCAGCAGCCCGCACACUUCUAACCCAAGCUUUUCUGCCAAGCCAGCCCCAGCGCAGGGCACGCAGGCAAAAGAGCUGCCUGAGGAAUCCACGCCAAGCGGCGCUGAGCACGACCUUUCUUCUUUACAAUGGCAACCUGAAUCCUAAAUACUGGAUUUCUAGGCACGCAUUAAAGCCAUGAGACAAUGGGGACCAUGAGGCUGGGGCUGGCUGCAAGCCAGCUCCUGCCCUGCCAGCGUCCUACAUUUCCCAUUUCCUUCUUUUUCACCCUAGCAGAUAAGCAAAGUCCCGCUAAGCAUGCAGAAGCUCGCCCAUGACUCAGGGACUCACCCCCACCGGACGGCGGAUGCCUGAGAAGAUACAGAGAGGUCUUCCCCCCCUCUCCCUCAUACAAGCAUCGCUUCUCCUUUAAUUGGUUUCAUUCAUGGCGGCCCUCCACUAAAUGUAAUUAUGCCAGGCUCUCUCCAUCUGUCUGUGUUCAGUGUUUUUAUUUUCAAUCUUUAUUUCUGCAUUAAUUUCCACUCUGCAGCUCACAUGCGCAGCAACAUCCAGGACCUCACGAGGACAUGCAGGCACCAAAUGAAGAGCCGGAUUUGGCCCUGAGUUUCUCCUGGCUGGACCCGCUGAGGAUUUUUUCAUGGGGCAAGUCCCACACCUCAGCUGUUCUCCACAAUACCCACACAAGCGGGUCCUUCUGCGAACGCUCAAGAGCUGUCUGGCAGCCCAAGAGAGAGGAGAUAUCUUGAUUUUGUCCGCACCCCAUUGAUACAGAGGUAUCUCUGUGCUGUCUUCCCAAGCCUGGUGCAUACAGCAAGGGGAGAUGUCUGCUCAAGCAGGCACGGACCCCCCCCCUUUUUUUUUUUUUCCUGCAUGAGGACAGCAUUUAGUCCUACAAAAGCAAACAGGCUAAUUUUCCUACCCACGAAUGCAGACAGGGUGAACACAGCUGAGCACAGGAAUUAACAAAUCUCAGCUCAUAUCUGCAAAGAGCCAAACGCUCCCAGAAGCAUCUCCUCUCUGGGUACAUCACCCAACGUCCCUACACAGUCUCUAACUAGAGUGGGUAGAUCUUGGGGGGAUACAACACUACAGGGCUUGUUGGCUUACAGAGAGACCAAACCCAGUGACACAGACCCUGGGCAACCAAGCACCAUCUGGUGAUCGCCGGCUCCUGACACAAUAGCCCACGUUGGCAUGUUUAUGAUAGAGACCAGAGGCGGAUUCCCAUUAUCCCCAUCGGAUCCUGCGAUGUAGUUUCAGGAGAAGGACCAUGAGAAGCAGAUGGGAUACCAGGAGAGAAAAGAACACGGUGAGACAGACAGACAGGAGAGAUUUAUACGAAGCUAAAGCGCAUACCCAUAAACAUGGGAUAAGCAAAUAGCAUGUAAGUAUGAAAUUAAAUGCGGGGAAUCCACGGUAUCCAAUAAUCAGUCAAAUACCUCCUUCACCUCUUUUUUUUUUUUUAUAGUUUGUCAUCAGCAUUUUAAAAUGAGAUAUUUAUGCCAAUAAGUAACCCAGUUGUAUCCGGUAACCCCACAAACAUCGGCUAGGAUCUGAGAGAUUCAUCCUGACAGACAAUUCAUUUUUACAGUUAUUUUUGGACUCCCGGCUUUCGUGGAACACCGGCUCUGUGUGUUGGAUUUUAUGCCCCUGAAAUGUAUUUACAAUGCAUGGCAUCUGUAUUGUGCAUUACACACUUAAAUCAUCGCUUUUCAUUCGUCGCUUAUAAAAAAAAAAAAAAAAAAUUGCAAUAUCCUGAAGCCGCAAAUACUGAAAUUCAAAAUAUUAUUGGUAUGUUUUCGGAGUAAUACUAUAAAAUCACAUUGUGUUUUAGAUAAAGGAGGGAAAAGCGAUCACGAGGAACAUGGAUUCCCAAGAUCUGGGAAGAGGAGGAGCCUGGAUUUCACGCCAAGAUAAAUGCAAAAUAAAAAUAAAAAGCUGGGGGGGGGGGGGAAGGGGGGGGGAAUCAACCCACCAAGGUUUAUUUUCUAAACAAAAACACUGAAACAUUUUGUCAUUUAAACAAAGGGAGGAAGGCGGGGGAGGCUCCGCAUCCUUCGCUCACGCUCCGCAAUGGACAAAUACUAUCAGAAACAAAAAGCAUGGCAUAGUUAGCAGGAGCAGAGCUUAGUGCUUUAGAUUUAAUGAUAUGUAUUUAAGUUCCUUUUAGGGGAAGCCUUCUGCAAUCGUUGGGGGGGGGGGGGGGGUUGAAAAUCAUGGUUUUAAAGGCUUCUGUCAUUGUUGCCUACAAGCCGAGCAGAAAGGCGCUCUCUUUGUCAUCCAGGGGUUUAUGGAAACACCUUAAUGUGUCCUUUUCAUAGGUGAAGCAAGGCACACAAAGCAGCGGCGUGCCAACGCGUCCCCCCCGCCAUCGGAAAAAUAAAUAAAUGGAGGAACGCGGGGAAAACGGCCAUCGUAAUCCACCAACAAAAUGACAGCAAGGAUGGUCUAUCUCGGUAAAUAUUGCACGUCUCCUGCCAAAUCCCUCAUGGGCUAUUGUCCCGCCAUCCCCACCCCCACGCCACCCCUUUUAUAUGUCAUUAAGGAUUUUUCGCAUACAACCAAACGAGCGGAGGGGGAAGAAUGCGUCCGCUCCGUCCCCACCAGUUGGAUAAGCCAUGACGAGGCGGCUGGGAGACAGCGCGCGGAAAACACAGGGCAAAUUAGGAAGUAUGUUAAUUCAAUUAAUAUCACAGAGGGGCUGGCGGGCGGGGGUGUGCGUGUGUGUGCGCGUGUGUGUGUGUGUGCAGAUUUUCCGCCCGAGGAAGGAGGUGGCAGAGAAAGAACUGGGGCAUGCCAGCUCCCGUUAUUGUUCUGCCUUCAUUGGUAAUUAGCAAGAUAAGGAGGGGACGGCGUGAGGGAGGCAGUGUGGUGAAGACGAGGCAGCGCUGCACCCCACCUCAUGCCCAUGCGGCCAUCUUACAAGCAGCGCUCGCCUCCCUCAAAAUGGCCGCCAGGGCCCACGCUACCUCAGGGCCUGCCCCGGCGGGCUGCCCUCUGCCCGGCAGCUGGCACCUGGGGCCUGGAAGCAUGAGCAGCCAUGCUGCUGCCCUGAAGACAAAGGGAGACAAGCAGACGCCAUCACAGGCCUGAGCGUGCCCGCAGGCAGGGCGGGCGGCCAUCUUAGCCAGGCCGUUCAUCUGCAGCGCCAACUGUGGAGCUGUACCCCAGCGCCUGUGGGGAGAGUCACCACAGUACAGCUCUCCUUCACAAGGCAGCACACGUUGCCAUGGGUGCAUGACCACUGCAGUGGCUGUGCUCUCGCCAUGCCUGUCCCACCAGGCAGGUCCCAUCUCCAUGAGGGGAACCAAGGCCUGCCCAGACACCAGAGAGCGAACCAUAGAACCGUUUGAGGUGGAAGGGACCCUUCAAGGCCGUCUGGUCCAACUGCCCGGCACUGAACAGGGACACGUACAGCUGAACAGGUGCUCAGAGCCCCAUCCAGCCUGACCUGCAGUGUCUGCAGGGAUGGGGCACCCACCACCUCUCUGGGCAACCUGUGCCAGUGCCUCACCACCCUUAUUGUAGAAAACCUCCUCCUUAUAUCCAUAAAUCUUCUCUCUUUUAGUUUGAAACCAUUUCCCCUUGUCCGACCACAAGAGAUCCUGCUGAAGGGUCUGCCUCCUUCUUUCUCACAGCCCCUUUAGAGGUACUGAAAGGAUCCUGCCUUUCUCCUCUCUGAAACAGAAUUAAUCCUGAACUGAAACUGCAGAGGCACCACUGAAGCACACACAACCUUCCUAAAUCUCAAUUUCAGGCAAACUUAAAACAAAAUCAGUUAUGAAAGGAAAAGGUAAAGUCAUAUAGACAGCACAGACAAAGCUACACCUGGUGUUUCCCAUUUAAUGGGAACUUCACAAUGGAAACAUUGGUGUUGUUCAGUUGUCCAAGCGAGCGAUAUCAGACACCGAAUGAGGAACUCUCAUCUGUGGUCAUGGGCUGUCCUCAGGAUGGCUAUAGCAAUUACUGACAUAAAAGCAGCGUUUGGGAAGCGUUUCAUGUGUCUUUAGCCAAGAUGGGGCUAUUUGCAUGGCAAAAUAGGCACAUGACACACAUUGAAAAUUUGGCAUCUGCUCCACGACUCCGCUGACAACCAGAGCACGCGUUACCCGGGCAAGAGGGCGAUUACAGCCGCACACAGACAAGCUGUGUUGUACAUCUCGGUUAGACAGUGAAACAUAAGGGAUGGCAGGCUGGCUGCUCCACUCUGGCGUUGUCUACAUGGAAAGCCCCACCAUUAUCAUGACAGCACUAUAGGUCAACUGCUUCUGCUGCGCAUUGCUCCUCUUGUAUUCCAGGCCAAGACCGGCUUUCUCCAGUUGAGCUUAAACUGCUUCUAGCAUGACGUAGCCAUAUGCAGGACAGUCCUGCUUCUGCUAAAGGAAAUAUCCAUGGAGGUUGUACGCACACAGCUCCUUGCUUUAAAAUCCACCCCCCAACCAUGCAUCUGUAGCUAGACCUGCCCUUCGGCUAACCUUUCUGUACUCCGUGCACUUCUGGGCUGUUCACAGUGCCCGUGAAACACUAUUACACCCUGCUUCCCUUGGGUGCUAAUCCUGCUUGUCAACCCAAAGGCAGAAACAGACAGUGGCUUGGCAUUUUGAUUACAUUGUGAUCUGUUUGAACCUUCCAGACUCUUUUGAUGUCUGUGCAAAUUUGAAAGGGGGAGUCACAAUCCUACACAAUGAAACUCCGCUAUCGCAUGGCAAAACUUCUCGGGACUCCUGUGUCCGUAGGCAGUGCUGGAUUUGGAGCAGGGAGGGGAGUUACAGCUCCUCCAGGAAGAGCCUGAAUUUCAGACUAACCAAUUCUGGCCCUAAGCGGAGAACACUACAGGGACAGCGUGUUGCUCUUCAAACAAAUGCAUUCACAGGGGGGUGUGCGCAUGCACAGAGACACCAUAUUUAUACAAAUAGAUGCAUUCAUAGGAAAAUGCAAAUAGCAUCCUCUUCUGUCCCAGGCUCCCUUUGAGCUCCUGACAUCCCAAGGUUUCAGAGGAGUACAGCCGAGCCUCAGAUCAAACAUUAGCCCUGCGGGGGUUCCCUCAGGGAAGCAGCCAUGCAUCGGGGUCUCUUCCCCGCUUCCGUGCGAGGUUUCCCGACCUGGCCUUCCUUGGGUGCUCUGUUCUGACACACGUACAACGCACGCACGCGCAUGCAGAGCCUUUCUAAAAGGCGCUCUGGGAAUUGAGCUCCGCUUCCUCCUUCUUCCGAAUCAAUUGUCAUAAAACAGCUUUUGUUUUAUUUUUAACAAAGCGACAGAAAUAACCUCGGCUCGCAGCCCUUCCCCCUCGCACAACCCCGUCCUUUGGCACAGCAAGCUGCCCAGUGCCCCCAAGGAAGCGGGCAGCAAUGCUUUCUGGAGCAUGGAAAUAGCUCCUCUGCCCUUUCUCUAGAGACCAUUCCUUGGCAGGAGAGCGAGGCAGUUGAAUGGGAAGGGGGCAUUCCAAACGUUCCCAACCUAACUGUAGUUGUCCCCUUCAUCCCUACCCACGGAGAUGCCCACUUCUGACCUGCAUUUUCCCUUAUGCUCUGCAAACCAUGGUGUCUCUCAAUCUUGGAUGUCACUGAAAGGCGACCGUGCAGCAAGCGAUAGGCUGGCAUACAACCUGUGAGAGCUCAAGCUCUGCUGUCUGUGGCACAUCCCUUUCUUCAUGCUGGCUAAGCCAAAGACCUGUCCCUCCUCCUGCAUGGCCUCGCUCACCCGGGCCCAGGACUCAGACAUGCAGAGACACUUCUUGAUGAAACCCAUCAGUGGGUGAGUGGCAGCUGAGCAGGUACUGAGCAAGACGCGGGGCCAGACAGCAGCCAGGGGGGAAGGCAGCGGGUGGAGGGAACGUGCCUCAGGAGGAAUACUCACAAAGGGCUGCUUUCAUUAAUAAAACAUUCCCCCCUCGGUCGCCUUUUGAUUUGGGUGUAAGAAUUAACCCCAUCUGCCCAACAGCACGCUACCUACCAAGUCAUCUCUGCCGAGGAAGACUGUCUGACAUGUGUCCGCUCAAUUGCUACGCCUCCCCCUGCCAGUGCUCCUCAGCUCUCCAGACCCCCUCCAAACAGCUCAUGAGCCUCACUGGGUCUGCCCUAUUGAAGAGAUCCUCUUCCCACAAGAUAGAUUAGACCCAGUGAAAAUAGGCUUAGUGAAAAUACCAUUUCACUAUUAAUGCCCCCCCCCCGCCUUCACACUCUCACACACCCACAAAGAUUAUAACAAAUCCCAGUCACCUUUUGCCCCUGCUAACUACUGCUCCAGUCUUUGCUCUGCAUGCCAUCUACCGCGAGCUGGAGAGCCGGGCACAGGGUAGUACUUACAUACGGAGACACACAUGUAGCUAGCCAGCAUUGGACAUACUCAGCCACAGCGCACAGCAGUCCCUGGCAUCAGCAUGCUUUGCUACAAUGCCCAACCUGUCCCUCUCCGCUGUAAUUGCUGUGCCUGGUCCUUGAGCAUCAGCAGAAAGUUGCAGCAAAACCUGCACUGGUUUAAUCUCUCUGUUCCAAAUUGGUGGGGGGUUGCUUUUACGUCACCAAGACAUUUCUAUUCUCUCCUCUUCUGUUUUAAAUAAAGCCAAGAUGAAGAGAUGCCUUCGAACAGACAGCCCCUUCAUUUUCCAGAGGUGUGUUUUAAUGAGUGACUUGCCUUCCAAAAAGGGGCCGGCGGAGGGGAAGGGCAGCAGAUCCUCCACACAAAUUCAAUAGCGGGUAGGUUGCCAUGGGCUAAAGCAUUUCUCUGCACACAUGAAGGGAAGGGACUCCGGAGCACUAAGGGUUUUGCCUCCCAUGAGUUAUAGCUCUACCCUUCAAGAGCGGAAUAAAUGCUUUAUCCCAUUGCAGCCUGCGAUGUAUUCUACAUAGAUGGAUUGAUUUCCCCUAUUGUUCUUAAUAAAUCCUGGCGCAUGAAGAAACUCACUGCACAGCCAUUUUUCCUGCCUUGUUCUACCUUGCAGAAGUAAUAAGGGUCAGAUGUGACUGCGGUGGGAAGCAAAGGCCGUACACAAGGCGUUGUAUGCAGUGGCUGUGCUUGGUGGGUGCAGACAAGCAACACCCUUUUCUCUGCUUAUUCUUCCUGCCUGCAUCUAAACCGAGGAACAACCAACAAAAGCAAAAUGCCAAACCAACUGCCCGCCUCAAUGACUCCCAGCUACACCUCUCAUACCACCUCCCAGCUACGCCAUUCAAACCUUCUGUUUUUGCUUGAGGAAGGCUUUCUUCCUCCCUGCUGCUUUUCCUGCUUGCACAGGUUUUCACCCACCCUCUCUCCCAGCUCAGGAGGGUGUUUGCUGGCCACAGCCUUGUUGGCGUGUGGCAAAGAGCGCUGCUUGGCUCUGGGAAGCAGGUAGGCUUUGCACAGUCCACCUUGGCUGCUUGCCUCCAGCUCCAUACAGGCUCACUGGGUUAUCACUGCUGGCCUUCUCUAACAGCAGCUAACAACUGGCCCUGGUUCAAUAGCCUCGCUGGGAAAUUUGGCUGUGGGAGGGAGGGAUCAGGUAAAAGAGCUGCUCUCCCAUUGCACAGAGGGACUUUUGGCAUGACUCCCAGGGACUCACCUCUCCUCGCUCAGGUGGAGAUGUCCCAUCCCUUCCCAAGGCAUCCCGCUCCACGAACUCGCAGUCAGCUCUGAUUAAGGAAAAGAGAAUUUGUCUCAAUUAGAAAGCGGCUCCUACGUGUAUGGAUGGAUGUCAAGUAAUUACCAAACAUCGCUCACGAAGAAAGGGCUGGAAAAGAGACCUUAAAUUUGGGACCCUGCAAACUCGAGCGCACAAUUGCGAGUGAGUUAUGGACCUUGGCAUGCUUCAGAGCAUACCUUGUGCAGAUGCUCUCGAGCCCAUCCCCUCGGCUGAAAUACACACAGCCACAUAAAAUACAGCCAGACACGACCAUGUCCUCUAAUAAGGAAAUAAAGCCGAGCAGACCUGCGCUGCCAGAGUCCAGAGAGCAACACUGUCUCUUUAAUUUUUUCCCUGGCUAUCUCAUCCUUUGCACAAACUCUUUCCUCCCCGUGGCUUCUUCCAGCCUGGUGGGCAAAGUGGGAAAACAUCAUUAGGGAGGAAAAAUAAUUUAGUUUGUUAAUCAGUAUCCAGUGGUGGGAAACAAGAAAGACAGAGAGCAGGGCUGGCGGUUAGGGCUUAGGAAGGGCCAGCACAAAGCCCACCAUUCAUGACAUCUGGGGCUGGGAUUCUCAUUGAAUUAAACAGACACAAAGAGCAGAGGCAUUUCAUGCUCUCUUCACAAGAAUUAUCAUAUCUCCCUGGCACUAGGAAACCUUCAGCAUGGGAGAGGGGAGAGAAAGAGAAAGGGAGAGAGAGGGGAAAGCGGGCAGGCUGGGUAGAAAUAUGGGGCAGGGUAGAGGAGGCUUUGUUCCAGGCUUGGAUUUAUGGAUGGGAUGCAGCGCGGUGCUUUGCUGGGAGAGACGGGGCCCUCGCGCGCUGGGUCUAAUAAGAAUCAGCAAAUGUGAAACAGGGGGCCCCUGUGUACCAUGAAGCUGGGAAACCCGCGUUUGACAAGCCAACAGAAUAACCACUCGCAUCUCAAGGCUGCGGGAGGAUGCUGACGUUCGGAGGAGAUGUGUCGUCUCGUGUGUGUGUCAGCGAGGAGAGGGAGAGCGGAGCGGCAAGGAGCAUAAACAGGAGACCAGGCAGCAUCGUUUGGUCAUGAAAAUUAAUUAGCUAAUAUGCAAACCAUAGAUGCCCUGCGAGCGUUCCCCACAAAGCUACGGUGUGUGCUGAGCCUGUGACUGGGAAUGACAGGGCCAGAUUACGCGGCUCUGUGGGAUGUGCCUGGCAGCAGGAAAAGCACAGCCCAUGUGAAAACAGUGAGGAGGGGAUGGUUGGGUCCUCGGGGAAGCCAGAGAGCCUAGGAGACAGGAGAGAGGUGUGGGAGAGAGUGGGCACCAGGCUGAGGCCAGGCAUCACGCUGCUGCAGCAGCAGGGAUUGGGCUGGAGAUGGAAAAAAGAGCCCCUUCUGGGCCUGGUGGCAAGUGAGAGCACUUAGGGCUUAGCAGAACCUGUCAUUUCAUACAGGCUCACACAGCAGAGAGCCAUCCCGUUCCAUCUGCGGGCAUCACCAUUGGAUCUGCUUUAAAUACUAAUUGCUCUGUGACCAGGACCUGGGAGCUGCUGGGAGACUCCCCAUAGCGUUACCUGUGGGAAGAGGGGACGGAUCUCUGACCUCACGUCCCCAGGGUACUGUGACCCCGUGCGCCAGUGCCACAAGCAGAUACCACAGCCCAGUGAUGAAGAUGAGAAACUCACGACCAACUUUGCAUGGCCCAAUUCCCAAGGUCUCAGACCCCACCACAGUAUUGUUCUCAUAUAUAUAUAUAUAUAUAUUUUUUUUUGGAGAAAGGAGGUACAGGCAGCAAUUACCAAGGGAAAAAAAGGGCACAAAAAGAGAAUGAAGAGAUGCAGCAAGCAAUUGGUAGGAAAAGAACAGAGAAGCCCCUUCGAGAUGGGAUGUGUGCAGUGAACGAGGAACGUGCUGGAAACAAAGGGAUGCAAGGAGAAAGGAGAGGCUGGGAUGGGCAUCGCGGAGACAUGGAGGUAAAAGUUGAAAAGGAAGCACUAAUUAGCACCCAGACCAUCACUUUCCAUUAAUAGCUUGUCACCGUUUCCUUGAUGUUGCUGAGAGCAGGAAAGUUGGUAUGUGUGAUGCUUACCUGUCUCUAUCUCAUUAACAGAAGUCAGGGUGAGAACAGACGUUUAUUGCCUGCAUCCAGAUAGACAGGCCCUUUGCUGAACUGAGAUGUGGGAGAGAGGGGGAAAGUUAUGAAGAAGAUGCCCGUGGAACACCGGGCAGUACCCACACAAUGGACACCCCAAUGUGGCGCACGUAGAUAGACAUGGUGCCAGCACAGGAGCAGCCCCUGUAGGGUACCAGGCUGCAGGAACCCACAAGGCAAAAAUGGCUGGAGUCCUCUGCUGUAAAACAGAGAGAGCCAAACGCGUCCUCAGAAAUAUUGCAAGGCAGAAUGGAGAGAAUUCCCAGCAAACAAAGAAAAGGAAAAAGAAAGCCAUCUCCAGCAAAGAUAAAUCUGCAUUGCACGCCAUCAGCUUCCAAGGAAAGUGGAGGAAAUUCUUCCAGCAGUUAAAAAAAGAGAUUAAAUCUCCCAUAUAAUGCACAAAGGCCGCCCUUUUCCCUCCAACAUGUGCUCCAUGGGAAGAAGGAGCAUGCAAGGCGCGGACCCGGGCAGCGCAUGUCGGGAGGUGUGAUGCUGGGAGCACGCGUGUGUGCACCCUCCUAAGGCCACACCAGCUUUCCCAAGUGCAAUUUCAGUGAACACAAUGAAGAUUCCUCAAGAGAAGGAGCCCAAACCUCCCUAGGAGUGAACGAGGCAAAACCAAAGGCAAAGAAAACAUCGUGGCUGGUGCUGGUGGAACAAAGGCUUCCCCCUUUCAGCUUGGAGACAUCUUCUUGGCCAUUGAGCUCAGAUCAAGUGUAGGCUCUGUUGACUCCCCCACCUAUUCAAAGAGCACUUUCAAUAGUCCAAUUGGGCUGUGCUGUUCUAUGGCUUCUCUACGCCUGCAUUUUGCAUCCCCUACCAACGCCGUUAAUGCCACAUGCGGAAACCCAGCCCUGAAAAGGCCUCGUUUGAACUCCGUGGUCAAGCACUUCACAAGUUAGGAAAUGCUCAAUUUACGGCUGUCCGUGCAACCUCAAUUCCACCUCGCCGUGCAUCUACCCUGACCAGGGAAAGAGGGAGUGAGCUAUAAAUAGGCUGUGACCGAGUCACUGCAGCCCGAGAUGGGCACGGGCAGCAGAGGCUGAAUUACAUCCCACGGCCAAAGCGCAGUCGCGCACCCCGACCUGCGAGCGCUUGGUUUGGUGCCUUAAACCCCGUACAUUUUUAAUCUGCAGAAAUCACGUGCAUUCUAAACAUACAGAAAAUGUAUUAUUUAUGCCUAAUAAAUAAUACAUUGUUUAUAUAAGCAAAAAAGCAAAAAAAAAAAAAAAAAAAAAAAGAAAGAAAAGAAACAAUUGUACGCAAGUGUAGCAAAUUCCCCUCCCUCCACCCCACGCUCAUCGCGGGGAGAGGGAUUUCGAGCCUGGAGCCUCGGCACAGAUUUCUGCCACUAUGAAAUACAGAGCUAAUGUUAUCUGGCAGCGGCAGAAGGCUGCUCUCCCGGGGUCGGCGGUGCAGGAAGGCGAACCGCUGGGGCUGGCAGGACCCAUGCACACAGAUGCAAUUUUUUCCUCCCCGCACCGAGUUUGGUGCUGGGAGAUGGGGGCACAGAUGGGUUGGAUGUGGAGGGGGCUCAUAGAGGCGGUCGUGAUGGUUCUUCCAUCCAACCCAGCCGUGCCAGGGCACCGCGCUCCUGGUUUGUUGUGAUUAUUAUUCCGGAGAAACAACACAUUUAUUUUUCUUCCCCCCGCCUCAAAGAGGCAACCGAAGGGAAAUUGUGAUUCUGAAUGAUUCAUAAUUCAGCUAAACCUGAAAGGAAUUUAGGGGACAAAGAAUAGGCAUCGCUCUCGCCGAACAGCUUCCCCCCGCCGAAUUUCAAGGGCCCGCAGCAAACAAUGGGAGUGUCAGAGGGUCUCAAAAAGAGAAAAAAAAAGUUCAACAAUCUUUACAAUAAAAAGUGUUAGGCAACACAGAGGUCAGAGCCGACCCCUCCUAUAAUAAAUAGCAGCACGAUCUUACAUUAACUAUAGGAGACAUUUUAAUGCAGUGCCUCAGCUUCGCGCUAAUUAUACUUUUUCACCAUAUUUUGAACCUUAGAAAAAAUGUCAUCAGUUAAUUAUAACAGAUGAGGGAGUGUGAAGACUUCCUCAAUAAAUAAUGCCUUGAUAUCUCAUAUCCAACACGCUGCGCGCACGGCUCUGAAGGUGCCCAGAAAUAUGUCCUCGCAGGAAAUACAUCAAGAAAUGAUGGUCCCAUAAGCUGGCUUUGUUUCCAAGCCUUGAUUUUCGGCCCAAUAAUUAAGUGAUUUUUAUGGAUCUGGGAGAGUAAAGGUCAUGGGACUGCUGGAAUGGUGCCAGAGAGAUUCAGCAUAAGGGGAAAAAAAAAAAAAUAAAAUCCCAAAGCAAAAUGAGACAUAAAAGACAUGCACGCAUGCGAUUUGGUGCUGCCAGCUUUCCCCAGGUCCCAUCCUUCUGCUCCUCCCAGCGUCUCCGUGGCAGCCUUGAAGCCAAGGUUUAACGAAAGCAGGAUGGAGCUACGGAGCAGGGACCCGUCCCCAUAGAGCAGGGACCCGUCCCUGUGCUACCACGGGGUCCCCAUCCCUGCAGGGGCCGGUGGGUGUUGGGGCAGCGACGGAGCUCCGAGCACAUCACCCUUCUUUCAGCUCCUUCCCCACCUGGCACCCCACACUUCCCCCUCUGAAGGGCCGGGAUUUGGCGUGGGAAAGGUGGCUUUGGGCUUUUCACAAAUCCAGUAUCCCCUUGAACCAAAACCAAUUAGCCUGGCCCAAGGUCCUGCCAUUGAGGGACUGUCCCUUCUUUUCAAACCCCCGCGGGCUCAAUUGCUCUAAGGAGCCUGGAUGUGAAUGAGCAAAGCCCACUUAAAGUGGUACUUAAGGCCAGACCAGGGUGAAGGAAAAGAGAAAGCCUCUAUAGGAUCAGCAAGCUGAGUUUCCAAGAGACAGCUAACUGACGGAGAUUGUGUGCUUUCCUCCCCAGCCCGUUUUCUUUUUUUACUCCCAUUCCUGAGCUGUGCAGGCAAACACCCCUAAACCCAACCUGAGCCGCUGAACAAACAUUGAUGUGGCACCCAGAGCUCUGUCCCCACCCUGCACGCCUCGCUUCUGCCAACGUGUUUUGGGGCAAGAAACGCCAAAAAGCAGCAAACCAACCUGGGCAGGGUGGCAGAGGGAAGCUGGCACAGGCGGCGAUGUCCCCAUCUCACACCACCGACCCCAACAGCUCGUGAGGAUUUGGGGUGACAAAGCGCCCAGGUGACACGUGGCACCCGCGCUACGUGUGAGAUGCAAACACCUUCGUGCUCACAGCUCUGAAAAGCUCCCGGUGCCAAAUUAGCACUUGGCUGCCACAGAGCACCCUGCGCUGAGGGGAUGGGAGCUGUAUGCCUCAGACCUGGGCAGGGCCUCCAGCGCAGCCCCAUGGCACAGACAGAGCCAGGACACAGGGCCAGGUGGAUGCAGGCAGCACGCGAUGAAUCAGGGAGACAAAAGGACCGACGGAGCCAGGCCUCCAGCUCCACACCAGCCAUCGCCAGGCAAUUCCACAAAAAUGCCCAUUGAUGGGAUCUCAUCCAUAACCGAGCGGCCCUGCCUCCAUUCAGCACAGCUUGUUGGAGCAGCAGGCACCAGGCAGCCCCAUCCCCACCCACUCAGUGCCACACAGGUUGGGCACCGGCUACAAAUCCAUGAGCCCAUCCCGCUGCACGGGGAGAAGUUCUGGAGAAGAGAAAUAAAUAAAACAGUUGGAGCACGCGAUGCCCUGUGGCAUCGAUCCCCUAAUGGCAUUUUCCAAUUACCCCCAAGGAUCUUUACAUCCCCGUCUCCCUCUGCCCACCCCCAGCACCGCUGAAGAACAAAGACAUCACACCCGGCCUCGGAGAGCUCACCCCACCCGCACUGCACCCUGUACCUCUGCAAAGGGACCGCCACCAGCAGCAGGAGGGACCUGGGAGCCACGCUCUGCUCCCUGCCUGCAGCGCCGCACCGCCCCACAAGCGAUGAGAGCACCAGCAGGCACCGUCCUUCUGGAUUUGGGAGGAAGGUUUGGGCUGACAGUGACACUGACACCAGCAGGGCGCAGGGCCAAGCGGCAGCAGGCUGCUGGGAUGCUUCAGGUGUGGCCCUGCUCACCAAAACCCAUCCCACGUCCAAAGGAGGUGGGCCAGCGACCCAUCAGAAGGCAGAAAGCGGAGAAGUGGCACUGGGCUGCGAGGUGGGCACUGCGGUGCGGAUGGGUGCACCCUCACUGCCGACUCCCAGGGUGAAAACGAAGAAUGAAACCCCAGCAAAAAUGUGACCACAGCUCCUCUUGCCCGGAACAUAAAGGGCAAAGUGCUCCAUCCCUGCCUCAAACCUACUGUGGGGGAUCAGCUCCGGGAUACGUGGGCCAGCCCUACCGCCUGCAAAACACCCCAACAGUCAGCUGAGAGCACGGGGCUUCGGGGAGGGGAAACUGGGGAGCUGAGGAUGCUGUCUGAGCACCCAAGAGCACGGCGACAGAGCUUGCCUUGUCCUUGGUAGGAGUUCACGUGCACACCCUGAUCGCCACACUUCCAUUUUAUUUCAUAAAUCAUAUAUAUGUAUUUACACACGCACACACAAACACAUUUCUUAUAUGUGUGCGUAUAUGUGUACAUAUAUAUAUAUAUAUAUAUACACACACUUUCUUUUCCUUGGAUUUUCUUUUUAAAUGCCCACCUUUUGCCACUACAAAAGCCAUGGACAGAACUACCUCCUGGGCUGUGCCACACAGCAGCACUCCAGCAACGCAGCUCUCCUCCACCACCGCUCCAACGCUUCCCCCUGAAUUACAUUCAUUAGGAAUUUGAAUGUUUCUUUCUUCCAUCCCCCAUCAAAUCAUUACUCCGGAAUAAAUGCAUUCAUCAAGCACCUUGCUCGCUUUGUUCGCUCCAGUUUUAAAGCAUCUCCACCUCAACGCUCGCACCUGACUCGGCGCUAUCGCACGGGAGGGAAAAUAAAGCAGGAGAGGAACAGAGCACCAACCACAACAUUGCGCAAAGCAAUGGGAAGAUUAUUUCUUAUAAAUAACCGAUGUAACGGAGCAGCGGAAGGGCCGCGUUCCCUCCUCCCACCUCCGAUCCCUUCCACAAUUUCUGGGCUCGCACGGAGCGCGCAUAUUCCAGAUGGAGAGGAGGAGGUCGGCUCCUAAUGACACGUCUUUGGCUGCCUUUGGAAUGAAUGAUUCAUUCGGCGCUCGCCGAGCCGCGGAGCCGCCGUUGAGUUACGUUUCUCUCAAAUCCGUAUCUUUAAUUCCGGCGCUGCGUGUGGGACCCAGCAAAUCACGGAAUUACUGCUGUAACUUCAGAUUAGUAACGCUCUCUAAAUGAUAGUCUAAUUCCAGGCCUUCAUGCUUCCCAGCGCUCCCGCCUGCGCUGCCUUUCCCUGGGAGGUUUCCUGCGGAAUUAGCGCCGCCGCCGCCGUCUCUCUCUGCCCCUUUUUAAUUUCUCCAAUGACUCCUCAUUAGAAUCUCUAUUAACAGCGCUCCUUGGAACUUUGCUUUCCCACGGUACAGCCGAAUUCAGGCUGAGAUCCUUUCUCCUGAUGGGGUUACGGCGGUGGUUUGGCCCUGGAAAGGGUCUCUGCGGCGGCUGAUGCCGGCCCUGCGCUGGGGAUGGUGCAGAGCCCCCCGGGGUGCGCGGAGCUUCCACUUUUCGCUCUCUUGCACCCAGAUGGGCGCGGGCUCGGGCCCCGAUGCUGCCCUCUGCCCUGUGCCAAAAGGACGGGGCCGGGCACCCGCACCCAUACGUGCAAGCAGAGGGAGAGCGGCAGCAUCCUGCCCAUCUCGCUCCUCUCCCGCACCGCGGGGGCAGCGAAGAGCCCCGGGAAGGCGGCGGGGACGGCUCCUUCUGCAUCCCCCCCGCCCCGGGGCUGCCACGGCCCCCGAGGGCGCAGGGAUCGUCCCCGCGGGCACCGGGCGAGGGGCUGCGGCCGUACCCUAUGAGUGCCCCACGGGGCACCCAGGGACUCCAACCCCAGGCGGGGGUGCUCACCCCACACCGGCUGCAAAAACGUGCCGGGGCGGCUCGGCGGAGAGCGCGGUGCUUUGUGUCGCCAUGGGAACGGAAUGCAGAUUUGCCAAUUGCUUUUUUUUCUUUCUUUCUUUCUUUCUCCCCCCCCCCCCCCCCCCCCCCCCCCCCCCCUUUUUUUUUUCUCCCUAUUAUUUGCCAGACAUUGUAAUACAUAUUACGUCCCAACUUCUGGGGCUCGCGGCGGAGGUGCGGGAGGCUCUGUGCCUGCGCUGCCGGAGGGGAGCGCCGGGCUGCGGGACCCGUCCUGGGGAUCCCCUCCCUGCAGACCUCCCCAGCAACAGCGAACUCACAGGGAAAGUGCAGACACGAUCGCCAAGUUGGCCUUCAAUGGGAGGCCGGGAUCAAGCCCAAAGCCGGGGAAAAAAAAAAAAAGAAAAAAGAAAAAAAAAAAUAGAGAGAGAGAGAGAGAAGAAAUAGGAGAGGAUAAAAUAUCACUAAGCAGGUUUUUAGCGAGGUCCGACCGCAGCCUGCGCCGGGGGGGCUUUGUUAGCAGAGCAGCCCCGGGGGCUCCUCUCUUCCAGCCCGCUCCCACGCACCUGGAGCAGAGCGCGUGUGCGCGGUGCUCCCCAUCCCUCCCGCCCGGUGCCGCGAAGCCGCGGGUACCGCUGCCCGGAGCGCGGCGGAGCGGCCCGAC
ensembl:lncRNA